rnacentral:rRNA from 1 species
UACGUAGGGUGCGAGCGUUAAUCGGAAUUACUGGGCGUAAAGCGUGCGCAGGCGGUGAGCUGUGUCCGAUGUGAAAGCCCCGGGCUUAACCUGGGAAUGGCAUUGGAAACUGGCUUGCUGGAGUGCGGCAGAGGGGGGUGGAAUUCCGCGUGUAGCAGUGAAAUGCGUAGAGAUGCGGAGGAACACCGAUGGCGAAGGCAGCCCCCUGGGUCGACACUGACGCUCAGGCACGAAAGCGUGGGGAGCAAACAGG